rnacentral:rRNA from 1 species
GGGUUGUGAGGUUAAGCGACUAAGCGUACACGGUGGAUGCCCUGGCAGUCAGAGGCGAUGAAGGGCGUGCUAAUCUGCGAUAAGCGCCGGUAAGGUGAUAUGAACCGUUAUAACCGGCGAUACCCGAAUGGGGAAACCCAGUGUGACUCGUCACACUAUCAUUAACUGAAUCCAUAGGUUAAUGAGGCGAACCGGGGGAACUGAAACAUCUAAGUACCCCGAGGAAAAGAAAUCAACCGAGAUUCCCCCAGUAGCGGCGAGCGAACGGGGAGGAGCCCAGAGCCUGAAUCAGCAUGUGUGUUAGUGGAAGCGUCUGGAAAGACGCGCGAUACAGGGUGACAGCCCCGUACACAAAAGCGUAUGUGCUGUGAGCUCGAUGAGUAGGGCGGGACACGUGGUAUCCUGUCUGAAUAUGGGGGGACCAUCCUCCAAGGCUAAAUACUCCUGACUGACCGAUAGUGAACCAGUACCGUGAGGGAAAGGCGAAAAGAACCCCGGCGAGGGGAGUGAAAAAGAACCUGAAACCGUGUACGUACAAGCAGUGGGAGCACAGGUUUACCUGUGUGACUGCGUACCUUUUGUAUAAUGGGUCAGCGACUUAUAUUCUGUAGCAAGGUUAACCGAAUAGGGGAGCCGGAGGGAAACCGAGUCUUAAUUGGGCGUUAAGUUGCAGGGUAUAGACCCGAAACCCGGUGAUCUAGCCAUGGGCAGGUUGAAGGUUGGGUAACACUAACUGGAGGACCGAACCGACUAAUGUUGAAAAAUUAGCGGAUGACCUGUGGCUGGGGGUGAAAGGCCAAUCAAACCGGGA